GAUGAACGCUGGCGGCGUGCCUAAUACAUGCAAGUAGAACGCUGAAGGAAGGAGCUUGCUCUUUCCGGAUGAGUUGCGAACGGGUGAGUAACGCGUAGGUAACCUGCCUGGUAGCGGGGGAUAACUAUUGGAAACGAUAGCUAAUACCGCAUAACAGUAGAUGUUGCAUGACAACUAUUUGAAAGGGGCAAUUGCUCCACUACCAGAUGGACCUGCGUUGUAUUAGCUAGUUGGUGAGGUAACGGCUCACCAAGGCGACGAUACAUAGCCGACCUGAGAGGGUGAUCGGCCACACUGGGACUGAGACACGGCCCAGACUCCUACGGGAGGCAGCAGUAGGGAAUCUUCGGCAAUGGACGGAAGUCUGACCGAGCAACGCCGCGUGAGUGAAGAAGGUUGUCGGAUCGUAAAGCUCUGUUGUAAGAGAAGAACGAGUGUGAGAGUGGAAAGUUCACACUGUGACGGUAUCUUACCAGAAAGGGACGGCUAACUACGUG
rnacentral:rRNA from 1 species